CUGACACAGGGAGGUAGUGACAAGAAAUAACAAUACAGGGCUAAUACUAGUCUUGUAAUUGGAAUGAGUACAAUUUAAAUCCCUUAACGAGGAUCAAUUGGAGGGCAAGUCUGGUGCCAGCAGCCGCGGUAAUUCCAGCUCCAAUAGCGUAUAUUAAUGUUGUUGCAGUUAAAAAGCUCGUAGUCGGAUUUCAAUGCGGGUUGACCGGUCUGCCGAUUGGUAUGCACUGGCCGAGCCGUAUUUCCUCCCGGAGACCUCGUCUACUCUUAACUGAGGCGGACGGGGGAAACGGGAUUUUUACUUUGAGGAAAUCAGAGUGUUCAAAGCAGGCUUUUGUAUGUAUGUGUUAGCAUGGGAUAAUAAAAUAGGACUUGGGUGCUAUUUUGUUGGUUUCGAACACCUAAGUAAUGAUUAAUAGGGAUAGUCAGGGGCACUCGUAUUCCACCGAGAGAGGUGAAAUUCUUAGACCAGUGGAAGACGAACUUCUGCGAAAGCAUUUGCCA
rnacentral:rRNA from 1 species